AGACACCACUCCCCAUGCACAUCUCCAUCACCACCUCCAUAUAAUUGCUUAUAGAGAGAGACUCUAACCCAAUCAAGCCACCUCUCUCUCUCUCUCUCUCUCUCUNNNNNNNNNNNNNNNNNNNNCUCUCUCUCUCUCUCUCUCUCUCUGACAUCAAACUCUUGUGGUACAACUCUCUCACCGCCUUUCUUCUCACCCCUUUUCCAUCCAUUUUUUCUGUUCCUCUGCUCUCUCUUCAGGGUCAGCCAUGGCUGCUCUAGUUCUUCUUGUGCUUCUGUUGGCCAUGACUGGGGGGUCAGGUAAGCUUUAGGCCUUUGCUAUAUGCUCCUUUCUUCCUUUUUUUUAUAAUUUCAAUCUUCAGGUCUAGAACCUUGUAAAAAUGUUUAGGAGAUGGUUAGUUUCCCCCUUCUUUAUUGCCUGUUUCUGUUAUAUGUUUUUAUGGGUUAUGGUUUACUGGAGAGGCUAAGAUUGUUCGUUUUAAUCAUGUCCAAGGCUCAAAGGCCGUCACCUUUUUCUACUUUUCAACACCCGAUUCUCCUUUUCCUUUCUUGUGGUUCUGUUGCUUUUUCUAAUCAGGAGUCAUGGUAAGGCUUAGCUACAUAAAUCUAUAAUACAUGUCCUCAGAGAUUGGGAAUGGACUUGCUCCCCUGUUCUAAUUUUUUUUCCUUUUUCUUUGUUUUCAUGUUUGAUAGCCGGAUACAUGAUGUUAUCUCCAUGCUAGUGUGUGUAAAUGACAUAGAACCCAAGUAUCACUAAUUAUUUAUAAUAGACUUCGAGUUCCUUUUUUUUUAACCUUUUAUCCCUUGGAUUUUUUUUCCUCUGAAGGUUAUUUCAGAGUUGGUUCCUCUUAUGUUCAAUAAUAAUGAUUUGGCAGAUGGUGAGUGAAAGUUUUCCUUCAU
rnacentral:lncRNA from 1 species